GACAGAGGGUGCAAACGUUGCUCGGAAUUACUGGGCGUAAAGCGCGUGUAGGUGGAUUGGUGUGUCAGAUGUGAAAGCCCUGGGCUCAACCCAGGAACUGCACCUGAAACUACCAGUCUUGAGUGGUGGAGAGGGAAGUGGAAUUCCUGGUGUAGAGGUGAAAUGCGUAGAUAUGCGGAGGAACACCGAUGGCGAAGGCAAUCCCCUGGGCCUGCACUGACGCUCAUGCACGAAAGCGUGGGGAGCAAACAGG
rnacentral:rRNA from 1 species